rnacentral:rRNA from 1 species
UACGAAGGGGGCUAGCGUUGUUCGGAAUUACUGGGCGUAAAGCGUAUGCAGGCGGAUCGUUAAGUCGGGGGUGAAAUCCCGAGGCUCAACCUCGGAACUGCCUUCGAUACUGGCGAUCUUGAGUCCGGGAGAGGUGAGUGGAACUCCGAGUGUAGAGGUGAAAUUCGUAGAUAUUCGCAAGAACACCAGUGGCGAAGGCGGCUCACUGGUCCAUAACUGACGCUGAGGCACGAAAGCGUGGGGAGCAAACAGGG